UACAGAGGGCCCAAGCGUUGUUCGGAUUUAUUGGGCGUAAAGGGUGCGCAGGCGGCCAAGUGUGUGAGGCGUGAAAGCCUGGGGCUUAACUCCAGAAUUGCACCUCAAACUACAUGGCUAGAGCAUUGGAGAGGGUAGCAGAAUUCACGGUGUAGCAGUGAAAUGCGUAGAUAUCGUGAGGAAUACCAGAGGCGAAGGCGGCUACCUGGACAAUUGCUGACGCUCAGGCACGAAAGCGUGGGGAGCAAAAGGG
rnacentral:rRNA from 1 species